rnacentral:tRNA from 1 species
GCCUUCGUGGUGUAGUGGUCAGCACGCUGAGCGUGUAUUUCCAGAGGUCCGUCGUUCGAGUCCCGGCGAAGGCG